rnacentral:rRNA from 1 species
AGUAAAAGUCGUAACAAGGUUUCCGUAGGUGAACCUGCGGAAGGAUCAUUAUCGAGUUUUUUGAACGGGUUGUCGCUGGCCUCUCACGGGGCAUGUGCACGCCUGGCUCAUCCACUCUCAACCUCUGUGCACUUUAUGUAAGAAACGGUGGACGCGCCGGCUCUUUGAGUCGGUAAGAAAGCCUUUCUUAUGUUUUACUACAAACGCUUCAGUUAUAGAAUGUUUACUGUGUAUAACACAAUAUAUACAACUUUCAGCAACGGAUCUCUUGGCUCUCGCAUCGAUGAAGAACGCAGCGAAAUGCGAUAAGUAAUGUGAAUUGCAGAAUUCAGUGAUCAUCGAAUCUUUGAACGCACCUUGCGCUCCUUGGUAUUCCGAGGAGCAUGCCUGUUUGAGUGUCAUGGAAUUCUCAACUCCCCAUUUUUAUUAAUGGGUGAGCUUGGAUUUGGAGGUCGUGUCGGCUCUCGUAGUCGACUCCUCUUAAAUGUAUUAGCGUGAAUCUUACGGAUCGCCUUCAGUGUGAUAAUUAUCUGCGCUGUGGUGUUGAAGUAUUUUUAUAGUUCGUGCUUACAAUCGUCUCUCACGAGACAACUUUGACAAUCUGACCUCAAAUCAGGUAGGACUACCCGCUGAACUUAAGCAUAUCAAUAAGCGGAGGAAAAGAAACUAACAAGGAUUCCCCUAGUAACUGCGAGUGAAGCGGGAAAAGCUCAAAUUUAAAAUCUGGCGGCUUUGGUCGUCCGAGUUGUAUUCUAGAGAAGCGUUUUCCGCGC